rnacentral:rRNA from 1 species
AGUGAACGCUGGCGGCAGGCCUAACACAUGCAAGUCGAACGGCAGCACAGUAAGAGCUUGCUCUUACGGGUGGCGAGUGGCGGACGGGUGAGGAAUACAUCGGAAUCUACUUUUUCGUGGGGGAUAACGUAGGGAAACUUACGCUAAUACCGCAUACGACGUACGGGUGAAAGCAGGGGAUCUUCGGACCUUGCGCGAUUGAAUGAGCCGAUGUCGGAUUAGCUAGUUGGCGGGGUAAAGGCCCACCAAGGCGACGAUCCGUAGCUGGUCUGAGAGGAUGAUCAGCCACACUGGAACUGAGACACGGUCCAGACUCCUACGGGAGGCAGCAGUGGGGAAUAUUGGACAAAGGGCGCAAGCCUGAUCCAGCCAUACCGCGUGGGUGAAGAAGGCCUUCGGGUUGUAAAGCCCUUUUGUUGGGAAAGAAAAGCAGCAGGUUAAUACCCCGCUGUUCUGACGGUACCCAAAGAAUAAGCACCGGCUAACUUCGUG